rnacentral:lncRNA from 1 species
CGUAGUUUACCUAAAUAUGAAAAUUGAGGAUUAGAAGCGGGUUCGUCCGACCCACUUAGGCCAAGACUUGUAUAAGCCCUUGUGGACUUAGUUGUGGAUGUUAGGCCUAGUUGAGAAUAAUGAGCCUUAUUUAUGAGAUUUGCUUGGUGAAUUAAUAAUUAUGAUGACUUUUCCCGAAUUAUGAUUAAUGGCCUAUAGAGAUUUAAUUCCUCUUAGAUGCGAUAUUGGGCCUUUAGAGACACUAUUUCCUCUUAGAUAUGAUAUAUGGUCUAUAGAGACGAUAUUCCUCUUAGAUAUGAUGAUUGGCCUAGAGAGGUGAUAUUCCUUAUAGUCAUGAUGUGUGACAUAUUGAUAUGAGAUCCUAUAUGAGAGAUGAUUAUAUGCUUAUUGAGAUCAUACCUUAUUUAUGCGAAAUGCCUCCUAUACGGGAGAUGAUUAUAGAUAUGCUAUGGAUUUUAAAUAUGAUUAUAGAUAUGAGUUCUGGAUAUGUAUAUGGGCCGAAGGCCGUGAUUAUGUUAUUGUGAUUAUUCCGGACGUAUUAUUGGGACAAAGACCAUGUUAAGAUACUGGUUGGAUAUCCGAAAAGUCUUUAUUCUUGUAAAGGAUGUAGUUACAGUUUAUGAAUUUAUAUGUAUAUACAUAUACACAUCUCUCCGGUAUGGGACGGAGGAAGAUGUGGUAUGAUGCUUAUUGUUCCACUGACUGAAUACUGGUGAUGGCAUGCAUAAAUUCGGUACAUUCAUGAUUAUUAUAUCAAUGAUUGAUGUGAUUCUAUAUACGAUGCGAUCUUAUGACUGUUCUUCCUAAUUAAGGGUUAAGCUACGUGGUAAUUAGUUGCCUAUUAGAUGACUAUAGCACUUGAUGAUUAGGAGUCUAAUGAACUAGUUAAUGAACCUUGCUUAGUUGAAUUAUGGUACCUAGCGAUAGUUGAUGCAUGGUUAAUGGUGUUGUCGAGUUUAGCAUAUGUGAAGAUUAGUUGUUAUUAAUGAAUAAGUUUACGAUGCCGUUUAGUUGUUAAAUGGGGAUUUGUGUAUUAAUGAGGUUAGAUGAUAAAAGAGGUUAGUGAUAAGAGAUCACUAGUUAAUAAUGAUUAACGGAUAUAGGUUGAUAAGUGUUUGAAUGAUGAUAGUGGUCUUUUGCUAGAUGAUGACUAGUGAAUUAGCGAUGCAAUAAUGAGUAUCGGUUAGUUAACAAUGGGUAGAUAGAAUAUAUUGAUGAGAUAGUUAUAUUUAUGGUGUUACGUUUAUGGUUAUGGGUACUUGAUUUAUGUUAUUCUUUCGGCCGAAGGAUAUUAUGAUGAUAUUGAUACCCGGUUCGAGUCCGGAGGAUACUAUUGAGAUGGUAUUGAUACCUGGCAAGGCCGGAGGAUAUUAUGAUGAUAUUGAUACCUGGUUCGAGUCUGGAAGAUACUAUUGAGAUGAUAUUGAUACCCGGUAAGGCCAGAGGAUAUUGUGAUAAUAUUGAUACCCGAUUCGAGUUCGGAGGAUACUAUUGAGAUGAUAUUGAUACCCGGUAAGGCCAGAGGAUAUUGUGAUAAUAUUGAUACCCGAUUCGAGUCCAGAGGAUACUAUUGAGAUGAUAUUGAUACCCGGUGAGGCCUCCGGAGGUUGAUGACGAUGAUGAUGGUCCUGAUGAGGACAGUUAUGAUGUAUUGUGAUAUUGAUGGUAUAUUUUGCAUUCAUUCCUGCAUGCGCAUCGUCUAUCACCAGUAUGCACCUAUGUCUAUCAGCCGGUAUGGGACGGUUGCAUAGAUAUGAGUGAAGAAUAUGUCUUGUGUUAUUGUUUGUUGAUUGAACCUUCCGAGUCUGGGGCGGUGGGGUACGCAUAUGCUCGGCUAGGUAUUUGGUUGUCCAGAGUAUCCGGUUAUUCACUCUGAUAUUGAUAUUGUUAUUAUCAUUGUUAUGAUCAUUACUAUGACUAACUUAUGAUAGAUUGGUCAUUGAUCUAGUAUUGGGAUUUCAGGUAUGUAUUCGUGCUCUUCUAUCUUAUGAUUGCAUUUUUAUGCACGAUUAUAUCAUGUAUAGCCAUGCGGAUUAGAAACCCUGAGUAUGAUGGUAUUAAAUCCUGAUAAUAUUCUAAUGAGGCCUUAAUAUGAGAAUAUGAUGAUCUAGGUUAUGCUUUGAGAUGGACCCACGUUUAUAUGUAUAUAUAUAUAUAUAUA